rnacentral:rRNA from 2 species
GGUCUGAGAGGAUGACCAGCCACACUGGAACUGAGACACGGUCCAGACUCCUACGGGAGGCAGCAGUGGGGAAUAUUGCACAAUGGGCGCAAGCCUGAUGCAGCCAUGCCGCGUGUAUGAAGAAGGCCUUCGGGUUGUAAAGUACUUUCAGCGGGGAGGAAGGUGUUGUGGUUAAUAACCGCAGCAAUUGACGUUACCCGCAGAAGAAGCACCGGCUAACUCCGUGCCAGCAGCCGCGGUAAUACGGAGGGUGCAAGCGUUAAUCGGAAUUACUGGGCGUAAAGCGCACGCAGGCGGUCUGUCAAGUCGGAUGUGAAAUCCCCGGGCUCAACCUGGGAACUGCAUUCGAAACUG